rnacentral:tRNA from 1 species
AAACAUGAUGAUGCUUGGAAAAAAGUUAGAAGCUUUUUAAUGAUAUUUCUUU